AAACUGACUCUUUUGAGACAAUAGUCAUGAAAUUUGGGUCGUUGGAAAGAAAAGGAUUUUCUAAAUUCCUUUAUUUCUUCUUUAACAUAUUGAGAAGCUGGCCAAAAAAUACUAGAGAGUCUUAAAGGAGAGGAGAGUGGGACAGGUUAGGAAGAAGGCAGGACAUGCCUGGCUUCUCAGCUCCUAUUGGAUUCUGGGUAGAAGAAGGUAGAAAGAAAACCAACCACAAAUGAAUAUGAAAGAAAAAAGGGAGAAGCCGGUCCCUGGGUUUCCAAAUGAAAUGCUACCAAGCCCCCAUGCAACCCACAGUCCUGAGCAGAAAAAUAAAGGUUUGAAAAGUUGGUGCUAGAUGAGAACACUCUUUUACUCACGAGAACACCCUUUUAUUCACCACGGAAGCAAUGCAUGCCGGCUGUAAAAUGCCUCACCUAACAGCAAAAGAAUGUUCAGAAGCAUGCCCAGCUAAUUGAAACUACAGGGGGUAUUUAAGUAGGCGAAGUGUUAUUACUCAGUUUAUAUUGUGUCCAGGAUAUCAGAACUACCAUUCCCUACUCUUGCAAAAGGCACUAUGGGAAUGGAAAUGGCCACAAAUGUUAGGCCUCUGACUUUUUAAAAUUUUCCUUAUCCCAGUUGUUCUUGACAAACUCAGAGGGCGAUCCACAUUACCAUCCACAAGAACUGGGGUUAUUGUUACGAAUGUGAAAGUCAGGUAGUUUUUGAACUCGUGGUAUCGAGUGCAAACCCUAUGCCAUGAGGCUAUCACAAGAAGUUCUCCAAUGUCAAUAUGUUUUGAAAA